rnacentral:rRNA from 1 species
CCUACGGGUCGCAGCAGUGGGGAAUAUUGGACAAUAGGCGGAAGCCUGAUCCAGCCAUGCCGCGUGUGUGAAGAAGGCCUUUUGGUUGUAAAGCACUUUAAGCGAGGAGGAGGCUACUUGGAUUAAUACUCUAGGAUAGUGGACGUUACUCGCAGAAUAAGCACCGGCUAACUCUGUGCCAGCAGCCGCGGUAAUACAGAGGGUGCGAGCGUUAAUCGGAUUUACUGGGCGUAAAGCGUGCGUAGGCGGCUUCUUAAGUCGGAUGUGAAAUCCCUGAGCUUAACUUAGGAAUUGCAUUCGAUACUGGGAAGCUAGAGUAUGGGAGAGGAUGGUAGAAUUCCAGGUGUAGCGGUGAAAUGCGUAGAGAUCUGGAGGAAUACCGAUGGCGAAGGCAGCCAUCUGGCCUAAUACUGACGCUGAGGUACGAAAGCAUGGGGAGCAAACAGGAUUAGAUACCCCCGUAGUC